AGAUUUCUAACCUGCAUUCUUUUUAAUGACUAUUAGUGUCUUCUCUGUUUAAAGUAAAAGCUUUUUUUAUCUAUUUAUUUAUUUUACUAAUAUUUUCUAUUUUCUUCCCCCCCCCCCCCCUCAUCUAGCAUGUCUGUAAAUCUCCUGGAACAUAAAUACUGAGUUUGUUCUCUGUCACCUUCAGGGACUUCAAAAUGAGGAAAAAGUAGAGACUUCAGAAAACAGAACAUAUACCACUUGGUAUCAUUACUAGGAGGAAACCUCAACUCAUUGAAGAGGCAAAAUUCCAAGCCUGAAGCUGAAAUGAUUCUGAAUUGAGCUGUGAAACAGAGCUGCUGAGCUGCUGGUCUGCCUGUUGCAGUUAGAAUGUGUGGUGACAUAUCUCUAAAUAUAAACUAUACAGAAAAAGGGGCCCUUUACUACUCUUGUUACAGACUGAGCCACCUAGCAGUGAAAUUGAUUUUGCUUCAGCCACUGGAUUUUCAGCUUGAGCUGUGGUAGCAUUUGGAGAAGAGUCUGUGCAGGAUGUCAGGUGAGAUCAUUUAGGUCUACUUUGAAUUUAUACCCUGUUAUUUAGG
rnacentral:lncRNA from 1 species